UGCUGAGGAGUCCCAUAAUAGGAUGAAACGGCCGUCCA
rfam:Schistosoma rodhaini strain Burundi genome assembly, scaffold: SROB_scaffold0002060